UACGUAGGGACCAAGCGUUGUUCGGAUUUACUGGGCGUAAAGGGCGCGUAGGCGGCAAUUCAAGUCAGCUGUGAAAUCUCCGGGCUUAACUCGGAACGGUCAGCUGAUACUGCUUUGCUAGAGUGCAGAAGGGGCAAUCGGAAUUCCUGGUGUAGCGGUGAAAUGCGCAGAUAUCAGGAAGAACACCCGUGGCGAAGGCGGCUCUCUGGGACGGUACUGACGCUGAGACGCGAAAGCGUGGGGAGCGAACAGG
rnacentral:rRNA from 1 species